UAUUAGAACACGGUCAUGCACAUUUGUUGACAUACUUCUAUGGCUGCUUUCAGGCUUUAACAACAGAGUUGAGUAGUUGUGACAGUGACUGUAUGUCCUGCAAAGCGUAAGAUAUUAACUAUCUGGCCCUUGGUCUGGGCACUGGGCAUCCUGCAAAGAGUAAGAUAUUAACUAUCUGGCCCUUAGUCUAGGCACUGGGCGUCCUGCAAAGCGUAAGAUAUUAACUAUCUGGCCCUUAGUCUGGGCACUGGGCGUGCUGCAGUGAACAAAACAAACACAAAUCCCACCCUUCUGGAUGAAGCUUGCAUUCUACUUGGGUUGGGGGAGAGGUAACACCAAUAAACGCAAAACUAGCGUUUCAAUGGGGUUCCUGACCUCACGGUAGUAUAGCCAAAGACCAGAAAGGUCAAGUCCUUGCCCCAAGUCACUCAGCCAGUAAGCGUUGGAGCCGGAAAGCAAACCCAGGUCUGUCUGGUCCCAAACGCCGUAUUCCUCUCUCUGAACCAACAGCUCUGGACGGCAACGAAUGACACCUCAUUCCAUCCAGAUCUCACCCGAAUUCUGCACCAAAGAGAAAAGGCAAAGUCGUGUUGAAAGGAACUCAGUUUCCAUCAUCCUUCCGGACACAGUGCCCAGAUAAGCUGCGGAAGUCACACCCAGAACUCACAUUGGAUCAUUCCCUCUGGUGAUCAGUGACGACGUCUGGCCGUGCCCAGUGCUCCGCAGAGCUAACCCAGAGCAGCUGCUCGAAAGGGAGCUGUCUCCAGAUGAACUGUUACUGAGGGAACUUGUGGAGUUUUAACCAUGAAUGAACUCUGUAAAUCAAGGCACACAAUAAAUGACGGAUCAACUGAUUGAUUGACAAGUCACACAGGAAGUUGCUAGCAGUGAUGGGGCUACAUUCUGGGACUCCACCACCCUGGACUUCCUCAGUAGGGAACAAACUCACUCUGACCAUGGCUGGCUUGAGCAGGCUCUGCAGCUCCAGGCUGGAAAGCCUCCUGAAAACUUGAAAUAAAAGGCAGCAGUUCUCCCAAGGGGGUCGUGAGCAUUAAUUAGUUACCACUGGUAAAGUGCUCUGAAGAUGUGGGGUGUAUAAACACAGCAAGUCAUUAGGCCUCUCCAUACCACUAAGCUCUAUAGCCUGGGAACUGCUAAUUGAGACAUAAUUAACACCUCAGGGUGCAGAGGAUGGAUGCUGGCUUUUCCAGGAUUGGAAGGGAUGUAAUAAUGUGCGCGGGGAGCAGGGAGAACUAUUAGGCUACUUUGGAUCCCGAAAUAUACCAAAGAUUAUUCACCUCCUGCCUCCCAGGAGGAAGUGUGGGGAAUAUUGCCUCCGUGAAGCCUUUGGGACGGCACUCGUUGGGGAAAGCCUCGACCACAGUGCAGGCUGCAGAGGCUGAGCCACACUCUUAAAUUCAAAAGAGCUCAGGUCUAGCCCAACUCUGUCCAUCCUCCAACCGGUUGGACAGAUAGCAGUUCCUCAGUUGUAAGACUGAGACGGCAACAUGCUUCCACCAUCUCUGCUACCCUCCUACCCCGGUUGUCUAGUGCCUUUUCUCGAGGCCAGCAAAUCCAGACCUGGCUGCACACGAGGAUCCAAGGACUAUAAAGUACUGAUGCCCAGGCCCACCCAGAUCAAUACCCAGCCUCGCAGGGUUGGGCCUGGGUGCAUACGGUGAUCCUCGGCAAAGCCCUCCUUCCUGGCAUUCCCACGGGAGGUUUAUCAGCUCCCAUUACAUCACUGAUGACAUUGUGCUGUUCCUGGCAGAUCCUGGGUGAGCUGAGAGGUUCUCGGAGCCACUAUCAGAAUCCGGUGUAUUGCAUCGGGUCUGGUACAUUUUAAGCACUCAAUAAACUAUUGCUGUAAUAUUACUUAGAUGAUAUGCAAGUCCCACCUCAGUACGUUUGCACUUGUUAUGCACACUGUCUGGAAUAUUCUUCCCCCAGAUUUCUGCAAAGCUUUCUCAUCUCCUUCAGGUCUUUGCUAAAAUGAGACCUUCUCAAUGAGGCUUUCUUGAUCACCCUAUUUGAAAUUGCAACCACUCAACCUCCAACCUGUGCCCUUCUCUAAUUAAUUUUUCUCCAGAGUAUUUGACAGCAUCUGACUGGUGGAUCCUGUCUUCAUAUAAAAUUUUGAUAAGUUGUUCACCAUAGACUUUUUGCAUUCAUUUUUAAAUUAAUUGCAUUAAAAUACCACUUCUCUUGAUGACUGUUCUUUGGCCUUCCCUUAAGUUUCACUGUAUUUGUUUAUUGACUAGAAUGUGAGCUACAUUGAAUACAUGUUUGAAAAUUGUUCCAGUAUGGUGUACUCUGAAGAGUUGUGUACAGUGGGAGCGCAGAAAAGGAAGCAACUAUCUCUAUUGGGAAGGGUUAGAGAAGGGAAUUUUGUUUUUGUUCACUAUUCCCAGUUUCUACAACAGUGGCUGGUACAUGGUAGCUGCUAAAAAAAUAGUUUGAGUGCCCUAGCUGGUUUUCUCAGUGGAUAGAGCUUCCGUCUGCAGACUGAAGGCCCCCAGGUUUGAUUCCAGUCAAGGGCACA